UACGGAGGGUGCAAGCGUUGUCCGGAUUUAUUGGGGUUAAAGGGUGCGUAGGCGGUCUGAUAAGUCGGGGGUGAAAGCCCGGGGCUCAACCCCGGAACUGCCUUCGAUACUGUCGGACUUGAGUACGGGUGAGGCUGGCGGAAUGGGCGGUGUAGCGGUGAAAUGCAUAGAUACCGGGAGGAAUACCUAUGGCGAAAGCAGGCUACUGGACCAUCACUGACGCUGAUCUGCGAAAGCUAGGGGAGCAAACAGG
rnacentral:rRNA from 1 species